AGAGUUUGAUCCUGGCUCAGAACGAACGCUGGCGGCGUGCCUAAUACAUGCAAGUCGUGCGAGAAAGUUCCGCUUCGGUGGAGCGAGUAAAGCGGCAGACGGGUGAGUAACACGUAAGUAAUCUGCCCCUAAGUUCGGAAUAACCUUGCCAACGCGGGGAUAAUACCGGAUGUGGUCACGAGAUCGCAUGGUUUCGUGAUUAAAGAUGACCUCUACUUGUAAGUUAUCGCUUUGGGAUGGGCUUGCGCACCAUUAGCUAGUUGGUAGGGUAACGGCCUACCAAGGCUGCGAUGGUUAGCCGACCUGAGAGGGUGAUCGGCCACAUUGGGACUGAGAUACGGCCCAGACUCCUACGGGAGGCAGCAGUAGGGAAUUUUGCGCAAUGGACGAAAGUCUGACGCAGCAACGCCACGUGAGGGAUGAAGGGUUUCGGCUCGUAAACCUCUGUUGAGUGGGAAGGAACGCCAUACGGUUAAUACCCGUAUGGUCUGACGGUACCACUCGAGGAAGCUCCGGCUAACUACGUGCCAGCAGCCGCGGUAAUACGUAGGGGGCAAGCGUUGUUCGGAAUUACUGGGCGUAAAGGGAGUGUAGGCGGGAGAGUAAGUCAGGAGUUUAAUCCACAGGCCUAACCUGCGGUCGGCUUUUGAUACUGCUUUUCUUGAGUAUGGGAGAGGAAGAUGGAAUUCCAGGUGUAGCGGUGGAAUGCGUAGAUAUCUGGAAGAACACCAGUUGCGAAGGCGGUCUUCUGGCCCAAUACUGACGCUGAGGCUCGAAAGCUAGGGGAGCAAACAGGAUUAGAUACCCUGGUAGUCCUAGCCAUAAACGAUGGACACUAGUUGGUGGGGGGGGUCAAUCCCUUCACUGACGUAGCUAACGCAUUAAGUGUCCCGCCUGGGGAGUACGCUCGCAAGGGUGAAACUCAAAGGAAUUGACGGGGGCCCGCACAAGCGGUGGAGCAUGUGCUUUAAUUCGAUCCACGCGAAGAACCUUACCUGGGCUUGACAUGGGAGUGAAAGUUUCCAGAGAUGGAAUCCUUUCCGCAAGGAACACUCUACACAGGUGCUGCAUGGUUGUCGUCAGCUCGUGUCGUGAGAUGUUGGGUUAAGUCCCGCAACGAGCGCAACCCCCGUCCUUAGUUGCCAUCAGUAAUGCUGGGAACUCUAGGGAGACUGCCUGGUCACAACCAGGAGGAAGGUGGGGAUGACGUCAAAUCAUCAUGGCUCUUACGUCCAGGGCUAGACACGUGCUACAAUGGUCGGUACAAUGGGCUGCGACAUCGCGAGGUGAAGCAAAUCCUUAAAACCGGUCUCAGUUCAGAUUGGAGUCUGCAAUUCGACUCCAUGAAGGUGGAAUCGCUAGUAAUCGCGGAUCAGCAUGCCGCGGUGAAUACGUUCCCGGGCCUUGU
rnacentral:rRNA from 1 species